GACUAUGGCCGGGUUGUUGGGGGCAUCUUCGGAUGCGCCGGUAUCCUUCAAGGCCGGUUACGCCAACCCUGACAACCUGGCCACCAUU
rnacentral:antisense_RNA from 1 species